rnacentral:misc_RNA from 1 species
AACAUCGCGCACCUGCGGGAACCUGCGGAGGGAUCAUUACCGAGUGAGGGCCCUCCGGGUCCAACCUCCCACCCGUGUUUAACGAACCUUGUUGCUUCGGCGGGCCCGCCUCACGGCCGCCGGGGGGCACCCCGCCCCCGGGCCCGCGCCCGCCGAAGACACCUGUGAACGCUGUCUGAAGUUGCAGUCUGAGACACUAGCUCAAUCAGUUAAAACUUUCAGCAAUGGAUCUCAGAUCGG